rnacentral:rRNA from 1 species
GACGAACGCUGGCGGCGUGCUUAACACAUGCAAGUCGAGCGGUAAGGCUCCUUCGGGAGUACACGAGCGGCGAACGGGUGAGUAACACGUGAGUAAUCUGCCCUUCACUUCGGGAUAACCACCGGAAACGGUGGCUAAUACCGAAUACGACCAGUCUUCGCAUGAGGUGCUGGUGGAAAGUCUUUUCGGUGAAGGAUGUGCUCGCGGCCUAUCAGCUUGUUGGUGGGGUAAUGGCCUACCAAGGCUUCGACGGGUAGCCGGCCUGAGAGGGUGACCGGCCACACUGGGACUGAGACACGGCCCAGACUCCUACGGGAGGCAGCAGUGGGGAAUAUUGGACAAGGGGCGAAAGCCUGAUCCAGCAACGCCGCGUGAGGGAUGACGGCCUUCGGGUUGUAAACCUCUUUCAGUACCGACGAAGCGCCCUGUCGGGUGGUGACGGAAGGUACAGAAGAAGGACCGGCCAACUACGUG